rnacentral:rRNA from 1 species
AGGGUUCGAUUAUGGCUCAGAACGUACGCUGGCGGCACGCCUAACACAUGCAAGUCGAACGAAGUAGCAAUACUUAGUGGCAGACGGGUGAGUAACAUGUAGGUAUCUACCCUUUGGCCUGGAAUAACACGAGGAAACUUGUGCUAAUACCGGAUAAGUCUUUACGGAGAAAGCUUUAUGCACCAUUGGAUGAGCCUGCACUUGAUUAGUUUGUUGGUGGGGUAAUGGCCUACCAAGACUGUGAUCAAUGGCUGAUUUGAGAGGAUGAUCAGCCACAUUGGGACUGAGACACGGCCCAAACUCCUACGGGAGGCAGCAGUGGGGAAUCUUGCACAAUGGAGGAAACUCUGAUGCAGCGAUGCCGCGUGAGUGAAGAAGGCCUUUGGGUUGUAAAGCUCUUUCGUCGGGGAAGAAAAUGACUGUACCCGAAUAAGAAGGUCCGGCUAACUUCGUGCCAGCAGCCGCGGUAAUACGAAGGGACCUAGCGUAGUUCGGAAUUACUGGGCUUAAAGAGUUCGUAGGUGGUUGAAAAGGUUAGUGGUGAAAUCCCAGAGCUUAACUCUGGAACUGCCAUUAAAACUUUUCAGCUAGAGUAUGAUAGAGGAAAGCAGAAUUUCUAGUGUAGAGGUGAAAUUCGUAGAUAUUAGAAAGAAUACCAAUUGCGAAGGCAGCUUUCUGGAUCAUUACUGACACUGAGGAACGAAAGCAUGGGUAGCGAAGAGGAUUAGAUACCCUCGUAGUCCAUGCCGUAAACGAUGUGUGUUAGACGUKGGAAAUUUAUUUUCAGUGUCGCAGCGAAAGCGAUAAACACACCGCCUGGGGAGUACGACCGCAAGGUUAAAACUCAAAUGAAUUGACGGGGACCCGCACAAGUAGUGGAGCAUGUGGUUUAAUUCGAAGAUACGCGCAGAACCUUACCAACACUUGACAUGUUCGUCGCGACUCUAAGAGAUUAGAGUUUUCGGUUCGGCCGGACGAAACACAGGUGCUGCAUGGCUGUCGUCAGCUCGUGUCGUGAGAUGUUGGGUUAAGUCCCGCAACGAGCGCAACCCUCACUUUUAGUUGCCAUCAUUUAGUUGGGCACUCUGAAAGAACUGCCAGUGAUAAGCUGGAGGAAGGUGGGGAUGACGUCAAGUCCUCAUGGCCCUUACGUGUUGGGCUACACACGUGCUACAAUGGUAUCUACAACAGGAAGCAAGACUGCGAGGUCAAGCAAAUCCUUAAAAGAUACCUCAGUUCGGAUUGCACUCUGCAACUCGAGUGCAUGAAGCUGGAAUUACUAGUAAUCGUGGAUCAGCGUGCCACGGUGAAUGCGUUCCCGGGUCUUGUACACACCGCCCGUCACACCAUGGGAGUUGGUUCUACCUUAAGGCAAGGUUUAAAACCCUUGACCACGGUAUAGUCAGCGACUGGGGUGAAGUCGUAACAAGGUAGCC